rnacentral:misc_RNA from 1 species
GGAAUUGCAUGUGGCUACCCAAAAUUUUGUUGUUUAUUGUAAGAAUGCAUUUUAGAGGAGUAAAUAACACUGAGAUGUAGAUAGGUUUAGCUCAGAUGUCUGAACAAAAACAAGAUCUGUAUAAGGCUCUUUUGAUGAUGAUGUAGAUUCAAACUUUGGUUUUAUCUUUUUCCCAUUAAUUGAAAUAAUUUAAGGUUUGAUGAUUAACUAUUUUCCCCCUCUCCACUCGGCCCAAUCUGCACGCAUGACUUCUUGUUUUUAAAGCAAUUGUUUUUAGUAUCCUUAGCUUUGCUUUAACUUAUCAGCAGAAGUGAAGUUUUAGUACCAUGGAGACUUCAAAGGUGAUAAAAGAUAAUGGAAGUCAAAAUCAUGAGACAAUGUUUCCUUUACAUGGUCUCUAGAUGUUGAUUAAAAUGACUGGCAAUUUUGCAUAGCAAUACAAGUGGUCUGCUCACUUCACUGCUUACUCCAGUAUCUUCCUUUGCUAGUUUAUGGCAAGUUACUUCAUUUAUCAUUAUGAGUUGUUUAAAUGAACUAUGGUCAGAC